AGCGAACGCUGGCGGCGUGCCUAACACAUGCAAGUCGAACGCGAAAGGGGGGCGAACUCCCGGUACGCGUGGCGCACGGGUGAGUAACACGUGGGUAAUCUGCCCUCGAGUGGGGAAUAACCUCGCGAAAGCGGGGCUAAUACCGCAUAACAUCUCUUGAUCCUCGGAUCGAGAGCUCAAAGGUGACCUCUACUUGUAAGUUGCCGCUUGAGGAGGAGCCCGCGUCCCAUUAGCAGUUGGUAGGGUAACGGCCUACCAAGGCUACGAUGGGUAGCCGGCCUGAGAGGGUGACCGGCCACACUGGAACUGAGACACGGUCCAGACUCCUACGGGAGGCAGCAGUGAGGAAUAUUGCGCAAUGGGCGAAAGCCUGACGCAGCGACGCCGCGUGGAGGAUGAAGG
rnacentral:rRNA from 1 species